GGCUGCGCGCAAAGUUGCCCCAGAAAGAGGCGGCAUCGCUGGCGGUGUCGAGCGGUCCCGAGCCCCGGUGAGCCCGUGGUGCAGCCGCCGCAGCCUCUGUGGCCCCUCGAAGUGCCGCUACUUUGUUUUGCUUAACCAUUGCGUUUCCACAUUGUGCACUUUGAGGCCGCCUUUAAAGGGUCCUUUUCUUUUUUUUUUCCCUCCCCAGAUAAUUUCUAAUUCAAUAGAUAAACAUGGGUCAGUUUGAAAUACCGGAUAAUUCAAAAACUCUCUGCUCAGCUCCUCGUGUCAUGGUUCUGGGGCUUGAUUUUUUUUUAUUAUUUUUUUUUCUUUGUAUCCGGAAACAAGUGUUGACAGCAGGUCCUAAAAUCAACAGUGUUGAUGCGGGUGGGAGUCGGGACCUGCUCGCCGGCCUCCACUACGGGCUCCUUGGAGCCGGGGUACCCCGGGGAGCCCUCGGCAGAGGUCGAGACUGGCUUCGGGCUUCCCAGCAGCUGUGACAGCGACCCGUAAGAUGGCUGCUGCCAUCCCCGCUGCUUUAAGACGGACUGUUUAAGGUGGAGGAGCCGCUGCCCUUGGCGGUUACUGCCCCAAGCUUGACAGCAAAUCAAACGUAAUAAAAAAAAUCCAGUUUCUCUGAAAUUUAA